CUCCCUCUUCCCCGACCUCCGGGACCCUCCCUUUCGCCCCGGCUCCCCGGGCCCCCACGGGGGGCGUCUCGACGCUGUGCGGCCGCCGAGUUUCGGUUGUUCCAGAAGAAACCUGGGAAACAAAAGACUAUGUUUGGAACACGAUGUGGAGAAAGCCAGAACUUAUUCAAACACUUCAGCAGCUGCAAAUUUCAAGAGCCUACUGUACUGAAGGCUGUUCUGCAGUUACAUUCCCCUCUGGGAGACAGUAAACUGGCCUUUCAGUUUGUACAUCAGCAUCUGGUGAUCUUGGUUAAUGUGAAUCAGUCCCCCUAGACCUGACCACUCCUGCACAAACUAAUAAAC
rnacentral:lncRNA from 1 species